rnacentral:sRNA from 1 species
AACAUCCUUAUCUCAGUAAUUGAUCUCUUUGGCUGCUCUGAGACUAGCUGGGAAUGAACCAAGAGUGAAUGAGUGCACAGAUGUGGGCAGAGUUUUCAAAAAGAUUUUGAGGCAGCCGGUGGGCUCCGAAACAAAACAGAGGUCACUGGAUCCGAUUCCCAGUACCAUAGAAGUGACUCAGACCAGCGAUUCAACCGACAAGCGGGAUCCGGGCCACCCAAAGCCGCGCGAGAGUUUACGUGACGACAUGGGCGUCAGCGUCACGGAGGCGUCGGCCACGUUCAGCGGACACGGGAGCAAGAUGGCGAUUCCGGGCAGGCAACCUCUGUGAGUGAAAGCCUUCAGAGGGAAGCUGCUAAGAAGCAGGCCAUGAAACAGACCAAACUGGAAAUCCAGAAGGCCCUUGCAGAAGAUGCUACUGUGUAUGAAUAUGACAGUAUUUAUGAUGAAAUGCAGAAAAAAAAGGAGGAAAAUAAUCCCAAAUUGCUUUUGGGGAAAGACAGAAAGCCCAAGUAUAUUCACAACUUGCUAAAAGCAGUUGAGAUCAGAAAAAAGGAACAGGAAAAAAGAAUGGAAAAGAAAAUACAGAGAGAACGAGAAAUGGAAAAGGGGGAGUUUGAUGAUAAAGAAGCAUUUGUGACAUCUGCAUAUAAGAAAAAACUGCAAGAGAGAGCUGAAGAAGAAGAAAGAGAAAAGAGGGCUGCUGCACUGGAAGCAUGUUUGGAUGUAACCAAGCAGAAAGAUCUCAGUGGAUUUUAUAGGCACCUAUUAAAUCAAGCAGUUGGUGAAGAGGAAGUACCUAAAUGCAGCUUUCGUGAAGCCAGAUCUGGUAUAAAGGAAGAAAAAUCAAGGGGCUUCUCCAAUGAAGUAAGUUCAAAAAACAGAAUACCACAAGAGAAAUGCAUUCUUCAAACUGAUGUGAAAGUAGAGGAAAACCCAGAUGCAGACAGUGACUUCGAUGCUAAGAGCAGUGCGGAUGAUGAAAUAGAAGAAACUAGAGUGAACUGCAGAAGGGAAAAGGUCAUAGAGACCCCUGAGAAUGACUUCAAGCACCACAGGAGUCAAAACUACUCUCGGUCACCUAGUGAAGAAAGAGGGCACAGUACCAGACACCACACGAAAGGAUCACGAACGUCGAGAGGACAUGAGAAAAGGGAAGAUCAGCACCAACAGAAGCAAUCCAGAGACCAAGAGAACCAUUACACUGACCGUGAUUACCGGAAAGAAAGGGAUUCUCAUAGGCACAGAGAGGCCAGUCAUAGAGAUUCCCAAUGGAAGAGGCAUGAACAGGAAGAUAAACCAAGGGCGAGGGACCAAAGAGAAAGAAGUGACAGAGUAUGGAAAAGGGAGAAAGAUAGGGAGAAAUAUUCCCAAAGAGAACAAGAAAGAGAUAGACAACAAAAUGAUCAGAACCGACCCAGUGAGAAAGGAGAGAAGGAAGAGAAAAGCAAAGCAAAGGAAGAGCAUAUGAAAGGAAGGAAGGAAAGAUAUGAAAAUAAUGAUAAAUACAGAGAUAGAGAAAAACGAGAGGUAGGUGUUCAGUCUUCAGAAAGAAAUCGAGACAGAAAGGAAAGCAGCCCAAAUUCUAGGGCAAAGGAUAAAUUUCUUGACCAAGAAAGAUCCAACAAAAUGAGAAACAUGGCAAAGGACAAAGAAAGAAACCAAGAGAAACCCUCUAAUUCUGAAUCAUCACUGGGAGCAAAACACAGACUCACAGAGGAAAGGCAAGAGAAGGGUAAAGAACAAGAGAGACCACCUGAGGCAGUGAGCAAGUUUGCAAAGCGGAACAAUGAAGAAACUGUAAUGUCAGCUAGAGACAGGUACUUGGCCAGGCAGAUGGCGCGGGUUAAUGCAAAGACCUAUAUUGAGAAAGAAGAUGAUUGAUGGCUACCCCAAGAGAAAGAUUUAAGGAAGCACAGAAAACUGUAAUUCCUGGAACCUGCUGCGUAAAACCAUAAAGGAGUGUGUUACCAGUAGUUUGGAGGGCAUUUUUAAAUUUAUUUUCAAAAUUUUAAGUUAAAAGUCAGUCUUACAGCUUGGAUGUUUGGAUGUGGAUG